rnacentral:rRNA from 2 species
AAACUUUCAACAACGGAUCUCUUGGUUCUGGCAUCGAUGAAGAACGCAGCGAAAUGCGAUAAGUAAUGUGAAUUGCAGAAUUCAGUGAAUCAUCGAAUCUUUGAACGCACAUUGCGCCCUUUGGUACUCCAAGGGGCAUGCCUGUCCGAGCGUCAUUA